rnacentral:rRNA from 1 species
GGUCAAGUGAAGAAGCGCAUACGGUGGAUGCUUGGCAGUCAGAGGCGAUGAAAGACGUGGUAGCCUGCGAAAAGCUUUGGGGAGUCGGCAAACGAGACUGUGAUCCAGAGAUCUCUGAAUGGGGGAACCCACCCGGCAUAAGCCGGGUAUCUUGUACUGAAUCCAUAGGUGCAAGAGGCGAACCAGGGGAACUGAAACAUCUAAGUACCCUGAGGAAAAGAAAUCAACCGAGAUUCCCUAAGUAGCGGCGAGCGAACGGGGACUAGCCCUUAAGUUGAUUUGAGUGUAGUGGAAGGCUCUGGAAAGUGCCGCCGUAGUGGGUGAUAGCCCCGUACACGAAACGCUCUUAUCAAUGAAAUCGAGUAGGACGGGGCACGAGAAACCUUGUCUGAACAUGGGGGGACCAUCCUCCAAGGCUAAAUACUACUGACUGACCGAUAGUGAACCAGUACCGUGAGGGAAAGGCGAAAAGAACCCCGGAGAGGGGAGUGAAAUAGAACAUGAAACCGUAUGCGUACAAGCAGUGGGAGCCUACUUUGUUGGGUGACUGCGUACCUUUUGUAUAAUGGGUCAGCGACUUAUAUUCAGUGGCGAGCUUAACCGAAUAGGGGAGGCGUAGCGAAAGCGAGUCUUAAUAGGGCGCUUUAGUCGCUGGGUAUAGACCCGAAACCGGGCGAUCUAUCCAUGGGCAGGUUGAAGGUUAGGUAACACUGACUGGAGGACCGAACCGACUACCGUUGAAAAGUUAGCGGAUGACCUGUGGAUCGGAGUGAAAGGCUAAUCAAGCUCGGAGAUAGCUGGUUCUCCUCGAAAGCUAUUUAGGUAGCGCCUCGUGUAUCACUGCUGGGGGUAGAGCACUGUUUCGGCUAGGGGGUCAUCCCGACUUACCAAACCGAUGCAAACUCCGAAUACCAGCAAGUGUCAGCACGGGAGACACACGGCGGGUGCUAACGUCCGUCGUGAAAAGGGAAACAACCCAGACCGUCAGCUAAGGUCCCAAAGUUAUGGUUAAGUGGGAAACGAUGUGGGAAGGCUUAGACAGCUAGGAGGUUGGCUUAGAAGCAGCCAUCCUUUAAAGAAAGCGUAAUAGCUCACUAGUCGAGUCGGCCUGCGCGGAAGAUGUAACGGGGCUCAAACCAUACACCGAAGCUACGGGUUCAUCCUUUGGAUGAGCGGUAGAGGAGCGUCUGUAAGCCUGUGAAGGUGAGUUGAGAAGCUGCUGGAGGUAUCAGAAGUGCGAAUGCUGACAUGAGUAACGACAAUGCGAGUGA